GGAUAGUGAGGUUUGGUUAAGACUUCGAACUCGAAAUCAGUUUGGGAGCAAUCCCACGCGGGUUCGAAUCCCGCCCUCUCCG
rnacentral:tRNA from 1 species